GGGCCCGCACAAGCGGUGGAGUAUGUGGUUUAAUUCGAUGCAACGCGAAGAACCUUACCAGGGUUUUGACAUCCUGCGAAUCUCUUGGAAACAGGAGAGUGCCUUCGGGAACGCAGUGACAGGUGGUGCAUGGCUGUCGUCAGCUCGUGUCGUGAGAUGUUGGGUUAAGUCCCGCAACGAGCGCAACCCACGUCUUUAGUUGCCAGCAUUUAGUUGGGCACUCUAGAGAGACUGCCGGUGAUAAACCGGAGGAAGGUGUGGAUGACGUCAAGUCAUCAUGCCCCUUACAUCCUGGGCUACACACGUACUACAAUGCUACGGACAAUAGGAAGCAAGACCGCGAGGUGGAG
rnacentral:rRNA from 1 species